GGAGUUGUGCAAUUCACCUUCAUCUUCUCUGUUAAUGUCUUCGCCUUCCAUCUUCACCUUUGCGCUGUGUUUUGAGCUUUUCUUCAUCUUUUCCUCACUCGUUUCUAUUUUUAUUCAAUUUUGGUUUUGGGCUAAUCUCUAACUGGGGUUUUACCUAGUGAGAGCUUCUGGUUUUGAGAUUGGAUUUGCUUAUGGCUUUGGAAGAUUGAUGCAGAGGCAUCCCACUGGAAUGCAAGGAAGCGACAGUGCAGUAUGAGCAAUCGCUCUUGCUUAUUGGUCGGAUUUUCACGGAAAAAAAGUUGAAUCUCAAGAUGGUACAGGAUUUGCCAAAGGAAGCAAUGAUGUUCAAGAACAUUAUUACUAUGGGAGGGCAAAUUGGUGAGAUUGAGCACCUGUGAAGUUGCUCGUGAGAAUCUGCGCCCCUGGGAGCUUAGUGUGAUUGGUAACCCUUAGUAGCAAGGGUUAAAGGACCAAGCAGUGAUCAGGGCAAGGGAAGAGAGUCUGGACCGGCUUGAGUUAUUAAAAUCGUGUAAACUCUGAGUUAGUGUAAUAAACUGGAAAACUUGUGUAUAUGAGUUGCCAUAGGGUUGUAUGCAUGAAUUAAGUAGUUAUUUUAUGGAAUCUUAGCCCAAUUAUAUGUGUUUGUGAUGAAACGAAUUAGGAGCUAUGAUUUGAAUAUGUUUAUGUUGAAUUUGUUGUUGACAUUGGUGAAUCUUAAGCCUAAGCGAGAAAUUACGAUGAAAUAAGUAAUUUGGGGCUAAGAUUGUAAUAUACAUGUGUUAUGAAUGUGAAUGUAUAUGUUUAUGUUGGGAAAAAGGCCAA